UUUUCUCAAUAUUAAAACCAAACUCAUGCCCUUGAUCGAUUGGCCUUUGUAAUAAUAGAUUGAGUGACCUGUUUUUUUUUGCAUUUCUCAUUGGGGGUCUUCUUAUGUUUACUCCUUCAAGCAUCCUGCCGUCCCAACUUCUAUCCCUUUCUCGAGUCUUCUUACUUGUUCUACUGUGCAUUGGUGACAAAUCACCUUUUCUUGACGCGACUGCCCGACAUUGAUUUAAUAUAUCCUCUUCCUCCCCUUAUUCAUAUAUAUGUCUUUCUGCCCUCGUAUCGAGUAGAUUAUGGGAAGGUUUCAUCAUUGCAUCCGACAUUUUCGUCUCCUCCAAAGUAGUUAUUGCUUUUAUUUGAACAAUCUGAUUUGCUGCAGAUGUUGGCGUUGCUGUUGCGAUGUGCACCGCAGCUGUUGUUUCACAUGAUUUAGAAGUAUUUCGUGGAAUAAACACUGUAGCAUUAUGAUUCAGAUUGCUGUUUGAGUUUGCUACAGUUUUCUUACAUGCAGGACCCCCGAUUGUCACUAUUUUGCUUUGAAAUUUUGGCUUGUAUUGAGCAUCAAUGUCCUCUCCUUCACUAUCGUCGUCAAACUCUUGCUCGUCUUCUGAAGAUGAAUAACCAGCAAGUCCUUCUCCCCAGCCCUCGUCAUCGUCAAAUUCUCUUUGGUCUUUCCACAAAUUUUAUUUAAUGACCAUGUCCCUCAUGUUAACAAAAACUGGUUUGAUAUGUCCAGAGGAAUUUGAUGGUUUUCCAUGAUCUUUUAAAGUUGUCUCGACAUGUGAAUUGGAGGAAGAUAUGAUUGGAGAAAACUGCACAUUGGCCAUCUGCCUAUUCUGUUCAGUGAAGAUUGCAUCUUCAUUA
rnacentral:lncRNA from 1 species